GACUACUAUGACAGACCUGACCAAAAGUCUCACUCACCGAGCUCUCCGACCACCCCGGGGUGUCCAUACACGGUUCCUCCCAUGACAGCAGCUCCUUGUUCAGAGAGCUCUCCGUAUCACCUUGGGCCAGAAGAGGAUGGCAGGUCCUCUGGAACUGGAGCUACAGAUUUUUGUGAACCACCAUGCAGGUUCUGGAAACCAAACACGUCCUCUGCAAGAACAGCCAGUGCUCCUAACAGUAACAGAAAAUAG
rnacentral:lncRNA from 1 species